AUAUUGUAUGAAAGGAGAGAAGGUUAGCACUACAUUGACAAGGAUGGAAGAGGCCCUUGAAAAAGAAUUAAAAAACAUAAUUU
rnacentral:ncRNA from 1 species